UACGUAGGGUGCGAGCGUUGUCCGGAAUUACUGGGCGUAAAGAGCUCGUAGGUGGUUUGUCGCGUUGUUCGUGAAAACUCACAGCUCAACUGUGGGCGUGCGGGCGAUACGGGCAGACUAGAGUACUGCAGGGGAGACUGGAAUUCCUGGUGUAGCGGUGGAAUGCGCAGAUAUCAGGAGGAACACCGGUGGCGAAGGCGGGUCUCUAGGCAGUAACUGACGCUGAGGAGCGAAAGCGUGGGGAGCGAACAGG
rnacentral:rRNA from 1 species